GCAGUCGAACGGUGAAGCCAAGCUUGCUUGGUGGAUCAGUGGCGAACGGGUGAGUAACACGUGAGCAACCUGCCCUGGACUCUGGGAUAAGCGCUGGAAACGGCGUCUAAUACUGGAUAUGAGACGUGAUCGCAUGGUCGUGUUUGGAAAGAUUUUUCGGUCUGGGAUGGGCUCGCGGCCUAUCAGCUUGUUGGUGAGGUAAUGGCUCACCAAGGCGUCGACGGGUAGCCGGCCUGAGAGGGUGACCGGCCACACUGGGACUGAGACACGGCCCAGACUCCUACGGGAGGCAGCAGUGGGGAAUAUUGCACAAUGGGCGGAAGCCUGAUGCAGCAACGCCGCGUGAGGGAUGACGGCCUUCGGGUUGUAAACCUCUUUUAGCAGGGAAGAAGCGAAAGUGACGGUACCUGCAGAAAAAGCGCCGGCUAACUACGUGCCAGCAGCCGCGGUAAUACGUAGGGCGCAAGCGUUAUCCGGAAUUAUUGGGCGUAAAGAGCUCGUAGGCGGUUUGUCGCGUCUGCUGUGAAAUCCCGAGGCUCAACCUCGGGCCUGCAGUGGGUACGGGCAGACUAGAGUGCGGUAGGGGAGAUUGGAAUUCCUGGUGUAGCGGUGGAAUGCGCAGAUAUCAGGAGGAACACCGAUGGCGAAGGCAGAUCUCUGGGCCGUAACUGACGCUGAGGAGCGAAAGGGUGGGGAGCAAACAGGCUUAGAUACCCUGGUAGUCCACCCCGUAAACGUUGGGAACUAGUUGUGGGGACCAUUCCACGGUUUCCGUGACGCAGCUAACGCAUUAAGUUCCCCGCCUGGGGAGUACGGCCGCAAGGCUAAAACUCAAAGGAAUUGACGGGGACCCGCACAAGCGGCGGAGCAUGCGGAUUAAUUCGAUGCAACGCGAAGAACCUUACCAAGGCUUGACAUAUACGAGAACGGGCCAGAAAUGGUCAACUCUUUGGACACUCGUAAACAGGUGGUGCAUGGUUGUCGUCAGCUCGUGUCGUGAGAUGUUGGGUUAAGUCCCGCAACGAGCGCAACCCUCGUUCUAUGUUGCCAGCACGUAAUGGUGGGAACUCAUGGGAUACUGCCGGGGUCAACUCGGAGGAAGGUGGGGAUGACGUCAAAUCAUCAUGCCCCUUAUGUCUUGGGCUUCACGCAUGCUACAAUGGCCGGUACAAAGGGCUGCAAUACCGUGAGGUGGAGCGAAUCCCAAAAAGCCGGUCCCAGUUCGGAUUGAGGUCUGCAACUCGACCUCAUGAAGUCGGAGUCGCUAGUAAUCGCAGAUCAGCAACGCUGCGGUGAAUACGUUCCCGGGUCUUGUACACACCGCCCGUCAAGUCAUGAAAGUCGGUAACACCUGAAGCCGGUGG
rnacentral:rRNA from 1 species